AUUGAACGCUGGCGGCAGGCCUAACACAUGCAAGUCGAGCGGAUGAAGGGAGCUUGCUCCUGGAUUCAGCGGCGGACGGGUGAGUAAUGCCUAGGAAUCUGCUUGGCUGUGGGGGAUAAUGUCUGGAAACGGGCGCUAAUACUGCAUACGUCCUGAGGGAGAAAGAGGGGGGUCUUCGGACCUCACGCUCUCAGAUGAGCCUAGGGGGGGUUAGCUAGUUGGUGGGGUAAAGGCCUACCAGGGCGGCGAUCCGUAACUAGGCUGCGGGGAUGAUCAGUCACAGUGGAACUGAGAGACGGCCCAGACACCUACGGAAGGCAGCAGCGGGGAAGGUUGGCAGAUGGGCGAAAGCCUGAACAAGCCAUGGAGGGUGUGUGAAGAAGGUCUGCGGAUGGUAAAGCACUUUAAGUUGGGAGGAAGGGCAGUAAGUUAAUACCUGGCUGUUUUGAGGUAACCAACAGAAUAAGAACCGGCUAACUUCGU
rnacentral:rRNA from 1 species